rnacentral:rRNA from 1 species
GUCUGUAACUGACGCUGAGGAGCGAAAGCGUGGGGAGCGAACAGGAUUAUAUACCCUGGUAGUCCACGCCGUAAACGAUGAGUGCUAAGUGUUAGGGGGUUUCCGCCCCUUAGUGCUGCAGCUAACGCAUUAAGCACUCCGCCUGGGGAGUACGGUCGCAAGACUGAAACUCAAAGGAAUUGACGGGGGCCCGCACAAGCGGUGGAGCAUGUGGUUUAAUUCGAAGCAACGCGAAGAACCUUACCAGGUCUUGACAUCCUCUGACAACCCUAGAGAUAGGGCUUUCCCUUCGGGGACAGAGUGACAGGUGGUGCAUGGUUGUCGUCAGCUCGUGUCGUGAGAUGUUGGGUUAAGUCCCGCAACGAGCGCAACCCUUGAUCUUAGUUGCCAGCAUUCAGUUGGGCACUCUAAGGUGACUGCCGGUGACAAACCGGAGGAAGGUGGGGAUGACGUCAAAUCAUCAUGCCCCUUAUGACCUGGGCUACACACGUGCUACAAUGGACAGAACAAAGGGCUGCAAGACCGCAAGGUUUAGCCAAUCCCAUAAAUCUGUUCUCAGUUCGGAUCGCAGUCUGCAACUCGACUGCGUGAAGCUGGAAUCGCUAGUAAUCGCGGAUCAGCAUGCCGCGGUGAAUACGUUCCC